AAAUGGGAGCAGGUGAAAACAUGAUUAUUUGAACAAAUCAAGAGCACGUACAGUAACUUACGAAAGUAUUCGAACACUUGUAGAAAUCUUUUACCACUAUAUUCUGUGUGUUAUACGAAAUAUCUCGAAGUUUCAGUAACAGUGUAAUGAGACCGGUUAUCACGGUUAUAUUGGUACAACUUGAAAUAAAUCUGAAAAUGUACAAGGAAGCUACAACGUAUUUAGUCAGUUUCAGAUUUAACAAAUAUAAUGAAGACAAUCAUGUCUCAUUAGAACAAUAACGAAAUUUUGAAGUGUUUUAUAUAACACCUAUAAGUUUCACAACGUUCCACGUAAAAGAUGAAUUACGAUAGCAACUGCAAAUUACGAGUAGCUGAAAUGCAUUGACAAGUACUCAGAGAAGCAAGUUAACAUCUAUUCGUUAAUGAAAAUUUCGCAUAGUUGUUCAUAUACGAUAAGAUCAUUUCGCGUUUUUCAACAACAGAGGUACAACAAAACAGUGAACUAAAUGAGCUCGAAUCAAUAAUAAAGCACAUCUGCACAUACUUUAGACAUUUGUUUUAUUAGAACAAAUAUAAGGUUCAUUACAUUACAGAAGAAUCGCCAAAGAAGAGUUACCAAACUACUUAGAGGGGAGGAUGAAGUGGAAGGACAGAAGAAUAUCAGCAAGAUUCAGAUGUGGAAACAAGACCAAAGCAAGGGAAUACUGGAAAGAAGAGGGAGAAAAAAGAUGCAGACUAAAUAAAAGGAAAGAAGAAGACCUGAGACAUGUAAUAGAAGAAUGUGAAAUAACGGGAGGACCAAAGGACAUAGAAAAAACACUAAAUGAGACUGGAGAAGGAUUAACAGAACUAAAAGCAAUAAUAAAGAAGAGAAGGGCAAUACAAGACGGGGAAGAACGACAAGAAGGAAGUAUAGCAAGGAGGCAAAAGCCCAAAGUUACAAUAGUUCUUUAGUCAUUAGUUUUUAGUUUUUAAUCUUUUUUAGUUUUUAGAGAUAGAAUAAUUAAGGCAGUGCAAUGUAAUAGAGUGGAUAAGAGGGGAGGUAGAUAUAUAAGAAGCGAAAUAGGUACAAGAGAUGUAAAACCGAAAGUUCGUCCAAGGCACGGACUAAGCAAUAAUAAAUAAUAAAAUA
rnacentral:lncRNA from 11 species